UUUCGCAUGGAGAUGUAAUCAAAGGAGCAAUCCGCUGAAAGAUGGACUCGCGUCCGAUUAGGUAGUUGGCGGGGUAGAGGCCCACCAAGCCGACGAUCGGUAGCCGGACUGAGAGGUUGAACGGCCACAUUGGGACUGAGACACGGCCCAGACUCCUACGGGAGGCAGCAGUGAGGGAUAUUGGUCAAUGGGGGAAACCCUGAACCAGCAACGCCGCGUGAGGGAUGACGGCCUUCGGGUUGUAAACCUCUGUCCUCUGUGAAGAUAAUGACGGUAGCAGAGGAGGAAGCUCCGGCUAACUACGUGCCAGCAGCCGCGGUAAUACGUAGGGAGCAAGCGUUGUCCGGAUUUACUGGGUGUAAAGGGUGCGUAGGCGGUUUGGUAAGUCAGAAGUGAAAUCCAUGGGCUUAACCCAUGAACUGCUUUUGAAACUAUCGAACUUGAGUGAAGUAGAGGUAGGCGGAAUUCCCGGUGUAGCGGUGAAAUGCGUAGAGAUCGGGAGGAACACCAGUGGCGAAGGCGGCCUACUGGGCUUUAACUGACGCUGAGGCACGAAAGC
rnacentral:rRNA from 1 species